CACCACAAGCUGGUGAAGCUGCCAGCAUGAUCUGAUGGUAUGAUAUAUUUACCUUUCAAUUCUCUCCCUGAUUGUCAUGGACGAAUUCAGGAUGAGGGGAAAGAGGAACAUGCAUCAGGUCAUGCUGUAGUUUCAUCUGCUAAUGGG
rnacentral:pre_miRNA from 1 species